CGAUGAUACGCGAGGAACCUUACCUGGCUCAAAUGUAUGUUGACGUUAUCUGAAAGGGAUACUUCUUCGGACAAUAUACAAGGUGCUGCAUGGUUGUCGUCAGCUCGUGCCGUGAGGUGUCGGGUUAAGUCCCAUAACGAGCGCAACCCUAUCAUUAGUUGCCAUCAGGUCAAGCUGGGGACUCUAAUGAAACUGCCUACGCAAGUAGUGAGGAAGGUGGGGAUGACGUCAAAUCAGCACGGCCCUUACGUCCAGGGCUACACACGUGCUACAAUGGCCGGUACAAAGGGCAGCUACCUGGUGACAGGAUGCUAAUCUCAAAAGCCGGUCUCAGUUCGGAUCGGAGUCUGCAACCCGACUCCGUGAAGCUGGAAUCGCUAGUAAUCGCGCAUCAGCCAUGGCGCGGUGAAUACGUUCCCGGGCCUU
rnacentral:rRNA from 1 species